ACUCUGACUCUCUCUCUCUCUCUCUUUCUCUCUCUCUAAAAUAAAUAAACAUUAAAAAAUUUUUAAGUGUUUUAAACUAAUGAAGUUUGUCAUUAAGAAAAUGAAACAAGGUAAGUAAUUGGUUAUAUGUUUUUGAGGGAUACAAUAAAUGUAAUGAUAUUUUGCCAAACAUCCAUUUAAAUAAAAUCUGUUGUUCUUCCUGAUAGUAUGUAAUAUGCAACAAGUAGCUACAUAAUUCUAAUCCUCCCUACAUAAAUUAAAAAGUCACCGCUCCUUUAUAAUAAAUAGAAAUGUAAAAAUUCUGUAUGUGACACAUGGUCAAAAACACCUUUAUGAUGAUUUAAAAUAACCACUGCUCAAAUUAGUAAGACAUUGAUUAGAAUAAUAACCGAUUUCCCAAAAUUGCAUGCAUGAAAGAGCAGUUCUUUCAUUAGAGAUGUCAAAAUUAGUCCAGAAAAUAUCAAUGAACAUUAUUAAUGUUAUGUUCAGCUUUGGCCCUAGGCAAAAUUGUCAAUUUGGUAAAGUUAUUCUUUGCCAUUUCUCAACAUCCCUUUGAAGGAUUUUUUCCUUUGCUGGCACUCAAUCAUUUAUUCAUUCAAUAAUUUUUUAUUGAGAGCCUACUAGAUGGCAGGCACAAUCCUCAGUGCUACAGGUAGAGCAGUGAAAAAGAUAGUCAACCACCCUGUGUAUAUAGAGAUUACAUUAUAGAAAUUAAGAUGGACUCAGACUAUUAAAAAAUAAGUUAACAAAAAAGAAAAUUUUGGAUUAUAGUAAUUACAAUGGCAAUUAUAUUGUAUGUAAAUAAUAAAAUAGCGUGGUAUGUUAGAGAGUAUCCAGGUCUGUCUUAAGUCAAGUGGUAAAGGAAGACCUCUCUAAUGAGCCGAUGCCUUUGAUCCAACCAUGGGAAAAUGUUGGGGUGCACCAUUAUAGACAGAAGAAUUCUGGUAAAUGCAAAAACCUCAAGGCCAUGUAAGUGAGACAGGGGGCUUACUUGGACUUUGAUGGAUAAGAAGAAGAUCUGUAUGACUGAGUAUAAUGAACAAAGAGAGAACAGUAUAAGGCAAGAGAGUGAGACAGGGGUUUCCUGCUUAUGCAGAUUCUAGAAACUUAAUAGGAACUCUUUUCAAUCUGAUAGGAACCCACUGCAUAGUUUUAGUAGCUAUCUGUCCUCUUCCUUCUCUCUUUGAUUCUUUUCCCUUGUUUUUGUUUUUGUUUUUGUUUUUAGAAUCUUUUACAAUUAUAGCUCUCAUGAUAGCUCCCUUUCCUAGGAUCUUUUAUAUUUCUUUUAAUAAAAUGUACCUUUCAGCUUCCUUCUCUUUCAGGUCAUGCCAGGUAAUUUGUAAACUAAUCUGAUAAAUCAGUAUGAAUUAGAGCAUUCAUAGUAACUUCAGGUUAAAAUGAUGCUCCUCUAAGAUAGAAAUUUUUUUUUCUUUAAAACAUCUUGUAUUAUCUAGACUUCAAGGAGUAAAGACUUUAGAAAUGAUAGCUAUUUACUAGAAAAAAACCCCACAUUUAAGCAGCUGCUUUUUUCCCCCAUGCAAAGAAAUAUCCUUGAUUAUAUGAAAUCUUCAGACCAUUAACUAUUAUUAUCAUACUUGGUUUUAUGAUCAUUAUGAUUUAUUAAUCCCCUUUUGAGUGCCAGGCACUAUAUUAACUACUUUAUAUACAUAUUUGCAUUUAAUUCUCACUAAUGAUCCUAUACAUUCCUAAUUUAUAUAUGAAGAAAGUAAAGCUCAGACUUACCUGCCUUGUUCCAUUUUGUAGACCAGAAAUGAGAACAGGUCUAAAAACAUAAAAGACAAUCAAUAACUAUUUUCUGGAUAGAUGCAUGAUUGAUUCAAAAAAUAAAAAAAAAUAAUAAAAUAAAA